rnacentral:rRNA from 1 species
UUCUCAUGGGCGCAGCCUGAGCAGCCUGCCGCGUGUAUGAAGAAGGCCUUCGGGUUGUAAAGUACUUUCAGUUGUGAGGAAGGGUGUGUAGUUAAUAGCUGCACAUCUUGACGUUAGCAACAGAAGAAGCACCGGCUAACUCCGUGCCAGCAGCCGCGGUAAUACGGAGGGUGCGAGCGUUAAUCGGAAUUACUGGGCGUAAAGCGCAUGCAGGUGGUUCAUUAAGUCAGAUGUGAAAGCCCGGGGCUCAACCUCGGAACUGCAUUUGAAACUGGUGAACUAGAGUACUGUAGAGGGGGGUAGAAUUUCAGGUGUAGGGGGGGGGUGCGUAGAGAUCUGAAGGAAUACCAGUGGCGAAGGCGGCCCCCUGGACAGAUACUGACACUCAGAUGCGAAA